rnacentral:rRNA from 1 species
UACGUAGGGAGCAAGCGUUGUCCGGAUUCACUGGGUGUAAAGGGUGCGUAGGCGGAAGAAUAAGUCAGUGGUGAAAUCUUACGGCUCAACCGUGAAACUGCCAUUGAUACUGUUUUUCUUGAGUUCGGGAGAGGUUGAUGGAAUUCCAGGUGUAGCGGUGAAAUGCGUAGAUAUCUGGAAGAACACCAGUGGCGAAGGCGGUCAACUGGCCCGAAACUGACGCUGAGGCACGAAAGCGUGGGUAGCGAACAGG